UGCUUUGCACAGUGGCAGUAUCAUAGCCAAUGAGGUUUAUCCGAGACAAGAUUACUUUUCCCAAUACCCUGCUAUGACGACUUGAAAUAGUCCCCAUUGGCAAUUUUUGACAGUCUCUACGGAGA
ensembl:snRNA U4 U4 spliceosomal RNA